rnacentral:rRNA from 1 species
UUUUAUUUGAGAGUUUGAUCCUGGCUCAGGAUGAACGCUGGCGGCGUGCCUAACACAUGCAAGUUGAGCGAUUUCCUUCGGUAAAGAGCGGCGGACGGGUGAGUAACGCGUGGGUAACCUACCCUGUACACACGGAUAACAUACCGAAAGGUAUGCUAAUACGGGAUAAUAUAUUUGAGAGGCAUCUCUUGAAUAUCAAAGGUGAGCCAGUACAGG